GGCAGAUGGGUGUGAGGGCUGCUCCCUCCUUGGUGGGAAAGCAGUGCUGGAGCUGCAGAGGGAGAGGCCAGGACUGUGGUUUUGUUUUUGUUUUCAGUCUGAUGUGCAGGUCGGGAGAGAAUGACCCUCAUUAAACAAAGACUUCAGGAAGCGAAUUCCUGGUUAGAGAAGGUGCCACACGCGGGAUCUUCGAUCUUGGUUGCGGGAUCUUUAGUUGUGGCACGUGGGAUCUAGUUCCCUGGCCAGGGAUCGAACCUGGGCCCCCUGCUUUGGGAACAUGGAAUCUUAGCCACUGGACCACCAGGGAGGAACCUGAGGGCAGCUCCAGGAGAGGAGCUCAGCAGGAGAGCUGAAUCGUAAAGCAGAGAAUGUCUCUGUCAGCCAGGAUUCCGGUCAAGGAGGUGUGCUGGAGGGGGAGUUGUGAUUGCAGUUACUCUAUUCUCUCUUGGCCAUUGUGGAGUAAUGGCAUGUUGGGGAGAUUAUCAUUCAGGCCCCAGUUUACAGGACCUUGAGAACACAUGUAAUUCUGAAGUAAAAGAAUGUAAGUCACCUGGAGAUUUGGAACUCAAGACUCAGGCCUGACCGGUCAGAGCACCACACGUUCCUGACCACAAGGUCUUGUUCAGGGAUGGACACGUGACCUCAGAACCAAAAAGGUGAAAUAUUGGAAUACUUGCUGGGACUACUGAGAAAGGAGUACUCUUUUUUUUACAGCUGGAUCUGAACCUGGAAGAUAACUCCACAGUUAUCUUUUCUCCACAUAGAGCCUAAGAAUGAAGCCAGCAUGGAAACCAGGAGAAUCUAGAGAUGGGGCAAGCAGGUCUUGGGGACAGAAUUUGAUCCCUUGGAAAAAGCCAUGCCUGAAAUUCUGAUACCCUUGGAUUUUUUGGUGACAUGGGUCAAGACGUUUUUUUUUCUUUAAUUUUUGCUUAAGCCAAUUUUUGGGCAAUGGGACUGUUAUAUGGCAAUGGGAUUGUGAUUAUAAAUAAUAUCCUUACAGUACUCUCCCAUUUACAAAGAACUUUUAUAUCCAUGAUUCUAUGUAAUAAUCACGCUAAGCU